rnacentral:rRNA from 1 species
ACGCACGCUGGCGGCGUGCUUCACCCCUGCAAGUCGAGCGGUAAGGCCUUUCGGGGUCCACGAGCGGCGAACGGGUGAGUAACACGUGGGUGAUCUGCCCUGCACUUCGGGAUAAGCCUGGGAAACUGGGUCUAAUACCGGAUAUGACCUCCUAUCGCAUGGUGGGUGGUGGAAAGAUUUAUCGGUGCAGGAUGGGCCCGCGGCCUAUCAGCUUGUUGGUGGGGUAAUGGCCUACCAAGGCGACGACGGGUAGCCGACCUGAGAGGGUGACCGGCCACACUGGGACUGAGACACGGCCCAGACUCCUACGGGAGGCAGCAGUGGGGAAUAUUGCACAAUGGGCGAAAGCCUGAUGCAGCGACGCCGCGUGAGGGAUGACGGCCUUCGGGUUGUAAACCUCUUUCAGCAGGGACGAAGCGCAAGUGACGGUACCUGCAGAAGAAGCACCGGCUAACUACGUG